rnacentral:rRNA from 1 species
GUGAACUCCUGGUCAGCAGCCGUGGUAAUUCGGAGGUGGCCAUCGUGAACCGGAUUUAGUGGGCGUAAAGCGAGAGCAGGCGGUUUUUUAAGUCUGAUGUGAAAGCCCUCGGCUUAACCGAGGAAGCGCAUCGGAAACUGGGAAACUUGAGUGCAGAAGAGGACAGUGGAACUCCAUGUGUAGCGGUGAAAUGCGUAGAUAUAUGGAAGAACACCAGUGGCGAAGGCGGCUGUCUGGUCUGUAACUGACGCUGAGGCUCGAAAGCAUGGGUAGCGAACAGGAUUAGAUACCCGAGUAGUC